rnacentral:rRNA from 1 species
GACGAACGCUGGCGGCGUGCUUAACACAUGCAAGUCGAACGCCCCUGGAGGUUGGAAGUUAGAGGUUAGAAGUUAGAUUAAGAAGGAAUUCGCCGAAGACGAAUUCUCACACAAUCCAACAUCUAAUUUCCAACUUCCAACCUCUAAGGGGAGUGGCGGACGGGUGAGUAACGCGUGGGCAAUCUGCCCGUAAGAGGGGGAUAACAUCGGGAAACCGGUGCUAAUACCGCAUAAUAUCUGUUUACCGCAUGGUAGACAGAUUAAAGGAGCAAUCCGCUUACGGAUGAGCCCGCGUCUGAUUAGCUAGUUGGUAGGGUAACGGCCUACCAAGGCGACGAUCAGUAGCCGGCCUGAGAGGGUGACCGGCCACACUGGAACUGAAACACGGUCCAGACUCCUACGGGAGGCAGCAGUGGGGAAUCUUCCGCAAUGGGCGAAAGCCUGACGGAGCAACGCCGCGUGAGCGAAGAAGGCCUUCGGGUUGUAAAGCUCUGUCAUCAGGGAAGAAGAGAGUGACGGUACCUGAGGAGGAAGCCACGGCUACUACGUGCCAGCAGCCGCGGUAAACGUAGGUCCGAGCGUUGUCCGGAUUCACUGGGUGUAAGGGCGCGUAGGUGGUUGUCUGUGUCUCAUGUGAAAACUCAGGGCUCAACUCUGAGAUUGCGUAGGAAACUAGGCAGCUAGAGGACGGUAGAGGGGAGUGGAAUUCCCGGUGUAGCGGUAAAAUGCGUAGAUAUCGGGAGGAACACCGGUGGCGAAGGCGGCUCUCUGGGCCGAUCCUGACGCUGAGGCGCGAAAGCUAGGGGAGCGAACCGGAUUAGAUACCCGGGUAGUCCUAGCCGUAAACGAUGGGUGCUAGGUGUUGGGGGGUAAAGACCCUUCAGUGCCGAAGCCAACGCGAUAAGCAUCCCACCUGGGGAGUACGGCCGCAAGGUUGAAACUCAAAGGAAUUGGCGGGGGUCCGCACAAGCGGCGGAGCAUGUGGUUUAAUUCGAUGCUGCCCGAAGAACCUUAACCAGGGUUUGACAUGCUGGUGGUAGGAACCUGAAAGGGGGACGACCCGACCGUAAGGGAGGGAGCCAGCACAGGUGUUGCAUGGCUGUCGUCAGCUCGUGCCGUGAGGUGUCGGCCUAAGUGCCGUAACGAGCGCAACCCUCAUCCCUAAUUGCUCCUGACAGGUAAAAGGGUCAGAGCACAAUAGGGAGACCGCUGGCGAAGAGCCAGAGGAAGGGGAGGAUGACGUCAAGUCAGCAUGGCCUUUAUGCCCUGGGCUACACACAUGCUACAAUGCAGGGUACAACGGGAAGCGAAGCCGCGAGGUGGAGCAAAUCCCGAAAGGCCCUGCUCAGUUCGGAUCGCACGCUGCAAUUCGCGUGCGUGAAGUCGGAGUCGCUAGUAACCGUGGAUCAGCAAAGCCGCGGUGAAUACGUUCUCGGGCCUUGCACACACCGCCCGUCAAGCCACCCGAGUCGGGUUCACCAGAAGGCCGGUAACCGAAGAGGGCCGGACGACGGUGUGCCUGGUAAGGAGGGCU